UAGGGAAUCUUCCGUAAUGGGCGAAAGCCUGACGGAGCAACGCCGCGUGAGUGAUGAAGGUCUUCGGAUCGUAAAACUCUGUUAUUAGGGAAGAACAAAUGUGUAAGUAACUAUGCACGUCUUGACGGUACCUAAUCAGAAAGCCACGGCUAACUACGUGCCAGCAGCCGCGGUAAUACGUAGGUGGCAAGCGUUAUCCGGAAUUAUUGGGCGUAAAGCGCGCGUAGGCGGUUUUUUAAGUCUGAUGUGAAAGCCCACGGCUCAACCGUGGAGGGUCAUUGGAAACUGGAAAACUUGAGUGCAGAAGAGGAAAGUGGAAUUCCAUGUGUAGCGGUGAAAUGCGCAGAGAUAUGGAGGAACACCAGUGGCGAAGGCGACUUUCUGGUCUGUAACUGACGCUGAUGUGCGAAAGCGUGGGGAUCAAACAGG
rnacentral:rRNA from 1 species